rnacentral:lncRNA from 1 species
CAUGUUUCAAGGUUCAACAAUCAGAAGAUAGAGUAUAAAAUGGAACUAAGUAUUCCAACACCUGUUUUCUCUUACUUGUACACCUGGUUGAGAAAAUGCUGUAAAAUGAACAUUCCAAAAAAAUUGGGAAGAUCUUCUGAAGCUCAGUUGAGUGAAAAACGCUUUCCCUCUGGAUCUGUGGUAAGUUUGUCCCAGAGGGAUUCCAAGACAUGUAAAGACCUAUAGCAUUUUCAAUG